GGAAACACCCUGUUUCUCGCUGAUUUCACUGUUUUCAGGAAUGGUUUAAUGUCUUCGAAAAAAUCUGUUAGCAUUUCUACCGUUUUAAGACGACAUAUCGUCAGAAGGGAGUGUCCAAGAUUUCGAUAUUUCUGAAGGUAGCUGCUGACAGAGAUGUAGGAAGCGCUGAAAAGAUUCUUCAGUGCUGAUGGCCUGCUGCAUCCAGCAGA